rnacentral:rRNA from 1 species
UAAUGUCUGGGAAACUGCCUGAUGGAGGGGGAUAACUACUGGAAACGGUAGCUAAUACCGCAUAAUGUCGCAAGACCAAAGUGGGGGACCUUCGGGCCUCAUGCCAUCAGAUGUGCCCAGAUGGGAUUAGCUAGUAGGUGGGGUAAUGGCUCACCUAGGCGACGAUCCCUAGCUGGUCUGAGAGGAUGACCAGCCACACUGGAACUGGGACACGGUCCAG